rnacentral:rRNA from 1 species
AUUGAACGCUGGCGGCAGGCUUAACACAUGCAAGUCGAGCGGGGUGAUGGUGCUUGCACUAUCACUUAGCGGCGGACGGGUGAGUAAUGCUUAGGAAUCUGCCUAUUAGUGGGGGACAACAUCUCGAAAGGGAUGCUAAUACCGCAUACGUCCUACGGGAGAAAGCAGGGGAUCACUUGUGACCUUGCGCUAAUAGAUGAGCCUAAGUCGGAUUAGCUAGCUGGUGGGGUAAAGGCCUACCAAGGCGACGAUCUGUAGCGGGUCUGAGAGGAUGAUCCGCCACACUGGGACUGAGACACGGCCCAGACUCCUAAGGGAGGCAGCAGUGGGGAAUAGUGGACAAUGGGGGGAACCCUGAUCCAGCCAUGCCGCGUGUGUGAAGAAGGCCUUAUGGUUGUAAAGCACUUUAAGCGAGGAGGAGGCUCUUUUGGUUAAUACCCAAGAUGAGUGGACGUUACUCGCAGAAUAAGCACCGGCUAACUCUGUGCCAGCCGCCGCGGUAA